GCCUGGGUGGCUCAAUCAGUUGAGCAUCUGACUUUGGCUCAGGUCACCAUCUCACAGGUCGUGAGUUCAAGCCCCGCAUUGGGCU
rfam:Felis catus isolate Cinnamon breed Abyssinian chromosome A1, whole genome shotgun sequence.